GGUUGUUCUCAGGUGACACCCCUGGAAAAAGGCUCCCUCCUCUCUGGUUCUGGGUGUGUCACCCAAGAACUGCC
rfam:Myotis brandtii contig236010, whole genome shotgun sequence.